UGGUAACCAAGUGGUAUUACUAAUUUUUAAAUUAAGCUUAUAAUUUUGACUUUCUUCAUAGAGUUAGAGAUGAAGAUGAAAAUAAAUUUAUAUCACCAACUUUAUGAGCUCAGGAAUCUAGGUGAAGAUUACAAAUCAUCACCUAUGCUUAGACCUACCUCUAAAGUGGACCUUUUAAAAUCCUCACCUCCCAGUAAAUGGAGGGCUUUAUUCUGAAGAUUCCAAGGUAUUUCCAUGAAAUGAGUGCCAUGAUCUAGAAGAAAGGUCUGCCACAGGUGAGGAUGUGGGAAUAUACCUGUGUCAGAACUUUGAUUAUGAAAUGAGCCAUCAGUGUUCUGUCCUUGCUGAAGAUUUUUAUCAUAAACUUGAAAUGUCCAUA
rnacentral:lncRNA from 1 species